CCAGUGAGUGGCGGACGGGUGAGUAACACGUAGGUAACCUGCCCCGGAGCGGGGGAUAACAUUUGGAAACAGAUGCUAAUACCGCAUAACAACAAAAACCACAUGGCUUUUGUUUGAAAGAUGGCUUUGGCUAUCACUCUGGGAUGGACCUGCGGUGCAUUAGCUAGUUGGUAAGGUAACGGCUUACCAAGGCGAUGAUGCAUAGCCGAGUUGAGAGACUGAUCGGCCACAAUGGAACUGAGACACGGACCAGACUCCUACGGGAGGCAGCAGUGAGGAAUAUUGGUCAAUGGUCGGGAGACUGAACCAGCCAAGCCGCGUGAGGGAGGAAGGUACAGAGUAUCGUAAACCUCUUUUGUCAGGGAACAAAGGCGGGGACGUGUCCCCAGAUGAGUGUACCUGAAGAAAAAGCAUCGGCUAACUCCGUGCCAGCAGCCGCGGUAAUACGGAGGAUGCGAGCGUUAUCCGGAUUUAUUGGGUUUAAAGGGUGCGCAGGCGGUCUGUUAAGUCAGCGGUCAAAGCCCGGGGCUCAACCCCGGCCCGCCGUUGAAACUGGCAGUCUCGAGUUGGAGAGAAGUAUGCGGAAUGCGCGGUGUAGCGGUGAAAUGCAUAGAUAUCGCGCAGAACUCCGAUUGCGAAGGCAGCAUGCCGGCUCCACACUGACGCUGAGGCACGAAAGCGUGGGUAUCGAACAAAGUUAGAUACCCUGGUAGUCCACGCAGUAAACGAUGCAUUAGGGUGUCCGGGGGGAUUGACCCCUGGGUGGGGGAAGCGAAAGCGAUAAGCAUUCCACCUGGGGGAGUACGCCGGCAACGGUGAAACUCAAAGGAAUUGACGGGGGGCCCGCACAAGCGGAGGAACAUGUGGUUUAAUUCGAUGAUACGCGAGGAACCUUACCCGGGCUCAAACGGGGAGUGACUCAGGCAGAGACGCCUGUUUCCCACGGGACACUCCCCGAGGUGCUGCAUGGUUGUCGUCAGCUCGUGCCGUGAGGUGUCGGCUUAAGUGCCAUAACGAGCGCAACCCCCGCGUGCAGUUGCUAACAGAUAACGCUGAGGACUCUGCACGGACUGCCGGCGCAAGCCGCGAGGAAGCCGGGGACGACGUCAAAUCAGCACGGCCCUUACGUCCGGGGCGACACACGUGUUACAAUGGGUGGUACAGCGGGAAGCCAGGCGGCGACGCCGAGCGGAACCCGAAAUCCACUCUCAGUUCGGAUCGGAGUCCGCAACCCGACUCCGUGAAGCUGGAUUCGCUAGUAAUCGCGCAUCAGCCAUGGCGCGGUGAAUACGUUCCCGGGCCUUGUACUCACCGCCCGUCAAG
rnacentral:rRNA from 1 species